GUUCCAUGUAAUAAGCAAAACCAUAUACUGCAAAACCAAUUAAGUUGAAAUGGUAUGUUGGUGGUUUGUGCAGGAGCUCAGAGGGCGAUCCAGGUGGGGCGCGUGAGGCAGGUACAGAGAGGAAGGCGAGGCCGAGGUCGUGAAUGAGCCACUGGCUUUGAGCUAUCGCAGGAAGAAGGGCACAAAGUUGAGACAGACCAGCCGAGGGAUUCUUAACAGAAGGGUUUGCCUCUGCUGCCUCCGUCGCAUCUGCUGAUGUGUGGACCCUGGCUUUCAGCUCUCUGGCCUUCGGCUCUUCGCCAACACACAAAAUUCUUUGGAAAAAAAAGAGUACAAGGCAAGACCCUAAAAUCGGGACCGAUCAGAACCUCCAUCCAGGCUCUGAAUUUAAGCGGAUGAGGGCUGAGACUUGGCAUCCCUGGCGUAUUUGGUGACGGUAUAUGGCAGGAGGCACCUGCCACGGUGGGGUUCCAGCACCUCAGAAGUCACUGGGCUCUGAUGCCCUGAACUUCGCAAGGAAGCUGGAGUGUCCCCUAUGUCACAGUCAUGGCACAUCUCCAGGCACCCCUGACCCCACCCAGGGCACCCACGGUCUCUUCCAAAUACCAUCUUGUCGCCAGAUCUCGGGAGCCUCUGCCCUUAGAUCUAAAGAGACAAAGCCAGUGGGCUUGGUUCAGGACCUCUCUGCCCCUCCUCGGUGUACUGUCAUGAGUGGCCACAUACGUGGGGCCCCCGUUCCCCGGGGGCUGCCUAGAGAGGCUCCUAGACCCUGCAGCCCGGGGCUCAGUAGACAAAGCUGCUCAGAAAGGCAUCUCCCACUAUGGAGGUGGCCGGGGCGCGAAGCGGGCAGCUGGGGCCACAAAAUGCCUUCCCCUGGAGAUAAGCUUCUGUCCUGGCCCUGCCUCCCCUUUCAGCCCCAAUUCCUGUCCUCUCCCGGUGCAAUGAAGACGAAGAAAACAGAAAAUGGGACAUCACCCCUCGCUCCGGAGCCCUGAGCAGCUGUUCCACAGCGGACACCAAAGGGGCCAAGUUGGGGGUUCCCUUGGCUUGAGGGGGCUGGUCAGCAGCAGCUAAGAUGUCCCAGCCUUGCGGUCCAUGGUCAGGGAAGCAGACCACAGAGCCAGCCAGGUACACCUGGCAUGGAGCCUAACCCCAUCUGGAGAUGGUGUCCCAGAACCAGUCUGGAAACAAAGCAUGUGGCUGAGUAAGAAGGGCUGAUGGAGUUCCCUUGUGGUGCAGCAGGUGAAGGACCCAGUCGCUGCUGAGGCUUGGGUUCGAUCCCUAGCCUGGGAACUUCCACAAGCUCUGGGCAAGGCCAAAAAAAAAGGUGGCGGGGGAGGGGGGGGCGGUGGCUGAGUGUUUAACAGAAGCCCAGCAGUGUCAGCUAGGCUCAAACCCUCUGGCAAUGCCGUGAGCUGUGGUGUAGGUCGAAGUCACGGCUCGGAUCCCGCAUUGCUGCGGCUGUGGUGUAGGCCGGUGGCUGCAGCUCCAACUGAACCCCUAGCCUGGGAACCUCCAUAUGCCAUAGGUGCGGCCCUAANCCACGGCAUGUGGACAUUCUUAGGCCAGGGAUCCCACCCCACACGACAGCAGCAACCUGAGCUGCUGCAGUGACCAUGCCAGAUCCUUAAUCUGCUGUGCCAUGAGGGGACGCACCUUUUUUUUUUUUAAUUGAGAUAUAGUUGGUUUACAAUGUGGCGUCGGUUUCUGGUGCGCAGCAAAGAACAUAUGCUUUUCUGUUCCAGUUUAUCACAUGACCCUGAGUCUAGUUCCCUGUGCUAUUCAUUAGGAUCUUGCUGUUUCUCUAUUUUAUAUAUAGCAGUUUGUAUUUUCUAAUCCGAAGUCCUAACUUAUCCCUUCCCCACCCACUUCCCCUUCGGUAGCCAUAAGUUUGUUUUCUAAGUCUGGAGUUUCUUUCUAUUCUGUAAAUAUGUUCGUUUGUACCAUAUAUGUGCAUAUAAGUGAUUUCAUGUAUUUGCCUUUCUCUUUUUGACUUACUUCACUUAGUAGGAGAAUCUCUGGGUUCACCCAUGUUGCUGCAAUGGCGUUAUUCCAUUCUUUUUUAUGGCUAACAUCCCACUGUGUAUGUACCACAUCUUAUCCGUUCCUCCGUUAAUGGACAUUUUGGCGGCUUCCAUGUCUUGGCUACUGUAAAUAGUGCUGCAAUGAACAUUGGGGGGCAUGUACCUUUUCAAAUGAGAUUUCUCCAGACACACGCCCAGAAGUGGGAUUCCUGGAUCAUACGGCAACUCUAGUUUUAGUUUUUAAAGGACUCUCCCCACUGUGUUCCAUGACAGUUGCACCAAAUUACAUUCCAACCGUGUGGGAGGGUUCCCUUUCCCCCACGCCUCCUCUUGCAUUUGUUAUUUGCAGAGAGAGCUCUUUUGAUCCUCAGGAAAAUCUUGGUUGUUUUACCCCACUCGUGUCCCUUUUUCAAAUGACAAAAUUGAGGAUUCGAGAAAUCAAGUAAUUUCUCCAAGUUUAUUUAUCUACAAGUGGCAGAGGUGGGAUUUGACAUUAGGUCUGCUCGAUUCCCAAACUCAAACUAUAGUUCCCCCCAGGAGCCCUCAUGCGCUGCCCAGCGGCCAUGUCCUUACAGUUCUAAGGACUGAAGUCUAGGAACGAAAAGGAAAGGAUGGAAGGACCAGGAUUCUUAAGGUCCUGACUCCAGUGCCUCUGUUUCCCUGGGAAGGACUUCAGUUACCAAAACCCAGGUCUAAAAAUCUGUCCUUCCAAAUACCAGCAGCCCUGGGUCUGGUACAGAUGAAACCGCAGCCGCCUCGGACCUAGCUGCAGGGUAACCUCUCUAAUCCUCUGACACAGUUUGGAGGCACCUGCCGCUCCUUGCCCCCAGGACCAGCCUUCCCAGGUGGGUGCCCCUGUUUAGAACGUGCCAUUCCUCUGGGGUGGCUCUUGCCCUGAAUCCCAGCGCAGACCGUAACCACUGGAAAAAAACGUGGCAGUUACAGCCAUAGUGACUUCAGCUCUCACUCUCAGAUGCUGGCUUCCCUGCCUUGGAGGAUUUGACUAAGUUGAGUGGAAAGAAUAACAAAUAUUUUUAGAGUACUUGAUUCGGUUUACAUGGAAAACUGCUGUUUUCUUUCUUUUCUUUCUUUCUUUCUUUCUUUUUUUUUUUUUUUUUUUGUAGGUCAGAAGCAGUCAAGUAUCAGCAGCUUCACAUGCUUCAGCCUUAUGCAGACUUUAUGCUGAUUGGAUCAGUCAAUUAAUCAUUAAUUAAUCCAACCAGCCCAACAGUUAACUGGGCAAACAAAACUGGAGCAAAACUGGAAGAGUAAUGCAUGCAGGGAUGGCACCUACAAAGCAAAGUUUACAUGUCUUAUUAAGGUCCCUGAGCUCCUAAGAGGCAAAGCCGGGUGGGUGGCGAUAUCCUCCUAAAUGCUUCAGACCCUCCAAGGCGGCCCAGCUGGCCCCAAAGGUGACUGAAGAAUGAGCAUGACUUAGAUGGGUGGGGGGAGGGGGGAGCCUCUGGAUGAGGGAGCAGCAUGGCACAGAACGCUAGGUCGAACUGGGGGCAUAGCUGGGAUGAGGAGAGAAAACAACCUAAUGGAGUAGAGGAAGCAUCUGGGACAGUGUGAGCUGGGGAGAGAACGUGGGGUCAGAUUAUAAAAGGUCUUAAAAAAUAGGCAGGGGAGUUUGUAUUUUUAAAACCAUCAGUCCUGGUGCUGGAAGGAACCAAAGAGAUCAUCUUUCCUAGCUCACAGAUUUCAGGCAGGAAAGAUGCUCCCUUCUUAAUUUUAUAAAACAAACAGCUGAGGCUCAGAGAUUUGGUUAGAGAUGGAGGGUAAGCUAGAAUUAUGGUUUCUUGCUUCCUCAUUUGAUGCUUGUUAUAGCUCAUCACACCGAACUUGACUUGCCCUUCAGAAUAAAAAAUAACUGUUUUGCCUAACAAGCUGUCUUAUUUUUAUAGGCUGUUACUAUUUAAAACUGCUUCACAUUUCUAAAGUGCCAACAAGGAAUCACAGGUUCUUAAGGAGAAUUUCUUGGCAGUGACAUAAUAAAAGCAUUUCAGAAGGAUGAGCCUGUCAAAAGCAUUCUAAAUAGAUCAUUAAGAGAGAGAGACUGGAGUGAGGAAAGGGGGACAAAUAAAAGAGGCCCCCCGAGAUGCCCUGGAAACGGGGCCCAGAGGCAAGGCAAGAAUUCCAGAUGAUGCCAGAAGAAGGCUGAGCCACUGACAGAACUGGGGAGGACCAGAACGAGAGCCAGCUCUGAUGGAAAAGAUUCUACAUUUAGGGGAAGGAGGCUGAUGUUUAGGAGGAGGCUGAAGAUAGAAGACUAGACAUCUGUGUGAGGUUGAUGCUGGAAACAGAUUUAGGCAUCAUUAAUGCCGAGAUAAAGAUAGAAGCUAUGAAAAAGGAUGAGUACACCAAGGGUGAGAGUCUUAUGACAAAACUCAAGGUAACUGGCCUCCAACAGAGAAGGCACCUGGCCUCCAAAUUCAAUUUCCCCACCACAGCAUAGAGUCAUUGCCGAGGAAGGGGCUUCCCCGCCGUGAACGUCUGAUGCCAACUCCCCUGGCAUCUAGAAGUUGUCUCCUAUGGAGAAUGAGCGGAAGCGAGAUGCGUCACAUCCAGGCCAAAACCUUAAAGCAGACGUGCCCUGCAUUCUCUUUUUCCCCUUCGGCUGUGGCGGUAACAUUGAGUGGGAUGGUGGGGCCACAGAAUGGAAGGCUCCUGGCUCCCUGGCUAGAGGAAAACCACCUGCCACUGUGGGUUAAAACAUGAGUGAGAAAUGGACUUCUCGGAGUUUCCAUUGUGGCCUAGCAGUUUAUGAACCUCACUAGUAUCCAUGAGGACGCAGGUUCGAUCCUUGGCCUCCCUUAGUGGAUUAAGGAUCUGAUGUUGCUGUGGCUGUGGCAUAGGCCAGCAGCUGCAGCUCUGAUUUGACCCCUAGCCUGGGAACUUCCAUAUGCUGCAGGUGUGGCCCUAAAAGGCAAAAAAGAAAAAAAAAA
rnacentral:lncRNA from 1 species